rnacentral:rRNA from 1 species
AGAAUCAACGCUGGCGGCGUGCCUAACACAUGCAAGUCGCACGAGAAAGUGGAGCAAUCCACGAGUAAAGUGGCGCACGGGUGAGUAACACGUGAAUAAUCUACCUCCGAGUGGGGAAUAACUGAGAGAAAUCUUAGCUAAUACCGCAUAAUACCCACGGGUCAAAGCAGCAAUGCGCUUGGAGAGGAGUUCGCGGCCGAUUAGCUAGUUGGCGGGGUAAUGGCCCACCAAGGCGAUGAUCGGUAUCCGGCCUGAGAGGGCGCACGGACACACUGGAACUGAAACACGGUCCAGACUCCUACGGGAGGCAGCAGUGGGGAAUUUUGCGCAAUGGGGGAAACCCUGACGCAGCAACGCCGCGUGGAGGAUGAAAUCCCUUGGGAUGUAAACUCCUUUCGAUAGGGAAGAUAAUGACGGUACUAUAGAAGAAGCCCGGCUAACUUCGUGCCAGCAGCCGC